rnacentral:rRNA from 1 species
UGGGGAAUUUUACGCAAUGGGGGAAACCCUGACGUAGCGACACCGCGUGAGCGAAGAAGCCUUUUGGGGUGUAAAGCUCUGUCAGCUGGAACGAACACAAUGACGGUACCAGCAGAGGAAGCAUCGGCUAACUACGUGCCAGCAGCCGCGGUAAGACGUAGGAUGCAAUCGUCGUCCGGAUUCAUUGGGCGUAAAGAGUUCAUAGGUGGUCUGUUAAGUUUGGUGUUAAAGAGCGGGGCCCAACCCCGAUAGUGCACUGAAUACUGGCAGACUUGAGUGCGGUAGAGGUAAGUGGAAUUCCAAGUGUAGCGGUGAAAUGCAUAGAUAUUUGGAAGAACACCGGUGGCGUAAGCGACUUACUGGGCCGUAACUGACACUGAGGAACGAAAGCCGGGGUAGCGAAUG